AAUAAGCCCGUUUUGAGUAAUCAUUUAAUCAUAUAUGCGUUUUUUAAUCAAAUAAUGCAGAUUUACAUACAACUAUGUUAUAUUGACAUUUUAAUGAAUGCGUAAGAAACAUGACAAUAUUAUCUCCAGACAAUCGGGUGGCAACCUUAGAAUGGAACUGUCUAGGCCGGACACAGCAGCCAAAUGCAUGACGAGAGAUGGGCAACUAUUGACAAUCAGUGAAACACAGCUAAUGGGGUAGAGCCCAUGAAGAGAAGCUCUGAUGACCUAGAUGCCUGCUAUUGACGCUGGUGGGCUUGGUCCAAGGAUCGGAGAUGUGGGAGCAAGAUGAGAGGCCUUUGCCUAGCAGUUCAACAUUGUAGGCUAAUUACAAUAAUUAUAACAAAUGCACCCUAA